AAAAUGACUCUCGGCAACGGAUAUCUCGGCUCUCGCAUCGAUGAAGAACGUAGCGAAAUGCGAUACUUGGUGUGAAUUGCAGAAUCCCGUGAACCAUCGAGUUUUUGAACGCAAGUUGCGCCCCAAGCCUUCAGGCCGAGGGCACGCCUGCCUGGGUGUCACAC
rnacentral:rRNA from 1 species